rnacentral:rRNA from 2 species
GAAGAAGGGUUUCGGCUCGUAAAGCUCUGUUGUUAGAGAAGAACGUGCGUGAGAGCAACUGUUCACGCAGUGACGGUAUCUAACCAGAAAGUCACGGCUAACUACGUGCCAGCAGCCGCGGUAAUACGUAGGUGGCAAGCGUUAUCCGGAUUUAUUGGGCGUAAAGCGAGCGCAGGCGGUUUGAUAAGUCUGAUGUGAAAGCCUUUGGCUUAACCAAAGAAGUGCAUCGGAAACUGUCAGACUUGAGUGCAGAAGAGGACAGUGGAACUCCAUGUGUAGCGGUGGAAUGCGUAGAUAUAUGGAAGAACACCAGUGGCGAAGGCGGCUGUCUGGUCUGCAACUGACGCUGAGGCUCGAAAGCAUGGGUAGCGAACAGGAUUAGAUACCCUGGUAGUCCAUGCCGUAAACGAUGAGUGCUAGGUGUUGGAGGGUUUCCGCCCUUCAGUGCCGCAGCUAACGCAUUAAGCACUCCGCCUGGGGAGUACGACCGCAAGGUUGAAACUCAAAGGAAUUGACGGGGGCCCGCACAAGCGGUGGAGCAUGUGGUUUAAUUCGAAGCUACGCGAAGAACCUUACCAGGUCUUGACAUCUUGCGCCAACCCUAGAGAUAGGGCGUUUCCUUCGGGAACGCAAUGACAGGUGGUGCAUGGUCGUCGUCAGCUCGUGUCGUGAGAUGUUGGGUUAAGUCCCGCAACGAGCGCAACCCUUGUUACUAGUUGCCAGCAUUCAGUUGGGCACUCUAGUGAGACUGCCGGUGACAAACCGGAGGAAGGUGGGGACGA